GCACUCGACUCUAAAUAUUUCUUUGUGUUUUCUUAAAAGAAUUGGAUAAAUAAAUAGACACACAAGAACAUUUUGUCUUGAAGUAAAUUAGAGUCUUAUGUACAAAUCAAUAGCUGGUCUUUUCAAAGAAAUGCAUUUUUGUGCUGGCUCUAUAGAAAAUCUUCUUGCAAUAAUGAAGCAUUGCAAAUAAAUAAAUAGAAUGAGAGAUCAGACCACCGUCAGCUCCUUGAAGAGUUGGAUCUGCUAGUGCUCACAUCAAAUGUUAUUGUUCUUGGAAUUCUGUAUCAAAUGUUAUCGAUCAUCACUAUCGAUGCAUGUCCAAGUGAAUCUUGUAUGUUUAGUUGCAAGUGUCCGUAGACUUUUACAGCUCAAAUUACAGAUUUAAAAAAUGUAAGAACAAUGCCGAUCACCAGCUAACAUUAUUUCUGUGAACAGAUUUAGUAUGCGUACACACUGUUACAAAUGCAGAUCUGUGUGUGACUUGUGCUGAGAAGAACACAUAGCAAUUAACCAAUCCCUUUCUGUAGUACAUGUAACAAUUAACCAAUCAUUUUCUGUGAAACACGUGAAUGCACAAUGAGAGGGCACAACGCAUGUAAUGGACGACUUAUAUUUCAAGCCUAGAGGUCACGGUGCUCAUGCAUUUUUCAGUUGCACGGUAUUUACAAAGACUGUCCAGGUCAACAUUAGAGAUGUGAUUGUACUUUCUUAAUAGUAUGAAUACCUUAUAUGUUGUUUUCUAAAUAAACAUAAAUGGCUGUAAACUACGGUGUUCUUUAAGGAACAGUCCAUGCUG